ACCCACCCCCUGGCCGCUGAUAUGUCUGGUAUUCUUGGGUUCGAUACUCUGAAAAACGAACCAAAGUAGCAGACGUAUCGACGGCCGGGAGGGUGGGAAUUU
rnacentral:pre_miRNA from 14 species